rnacentral:lncRNA from 1 species
AAGAGCCUCCACCCUUCUCUUUUUAAUGCGCUUCACUUCACUCCCACAACCGACAUAAGCUCACCUCUCUCUCUCUCUAGAUUUUUAUUUACUCUCUCUCUCUCUCUCUCUCUAGAUUUUUAAUUGCUCUCUCUCUAGAUUUCACCAGAGAUCAAAGUGCAACCGCCAUGGAAGCAGCAGCGGCGGCGAAGAAGCGGAAGGGGACAAAAGUUCCCCCUCGGCGUGGAGCGGUGAAGAAGAAGAUAUUCUAUUCUCUCACCUCUUCCCUCCACACUCUCUCUCUCUCCUACAUUCAAUUCAUCGCACAGCUACUCGCCUCCGCCUCCGCCUCCGCCUCCUCCUUAGCCCCGGAAAGCCCCACCAAAACAUCGCCUCCACCAGCAUCACCACUCCCUCCUAUUUCGCCGCUGGCGCCGCCACCAACACCACACUCUUGAAAUAGUCCUCCUCUCCUCGUCUGAAAUAACAGGACGCCCCUCUCAUUAAUUACCCCCUGCCUUGUUCCUUAAUUCACUCUUCUCUCUUUUGCAGAUUCGAUUUGUUGUAAUUGUCAUUGAGGCAUGGUUUUUUUUUGCUGAGCGCCAUCAAUCAUUCGUUUUAUUUGCUGUCAAAUUCUCGAUAUCCAUUUGUGUUUUUAGGUGAUAUUUGACCAUUGGGGCUUCUCCCUUCUUGCUAGAAACAGAGGAGAUUGAAUCCCUGGGUCUUCUUUUUCCCAUCCAUAUCGACAACCUACUCUGUUUAUGGUUUUAAUGGGGCCCAAUUCUCCAUUGAUCACCCAAAGAAAAAGGUAUUGGAUUUGGUGGAAUCUCUAUUUUUUUUCCCUGCAAAUUUUCAAUGGGGCUAGGCAUCAAACAAAACCACAGCUUGUUGCUUCUGUUCUUGCAUAGAGUUCUAAAGGAAAUAAGAGGUGUAAUGAGGAAUUGCUGGGAGCUUCUUCUGAGUUACUGAUACGUCCACACAAGCUGGUUUUUAGUUCAGUUGUGCUCGUUUCACAUUAUUUUCUUGUAUAAAAAACAAGUAUACAUUCAGUUGUGCUCCUUUCACAUUAUUUUCUUGUAUAAAAACAAGUAUACAUAUGUUUAACUUGUGCAGGCUAUGGCCUAUAGUAUGGAUUAGGCUGGUGAUGGAUUCAUGGAUGAUGUAGGGUUCUUGACCAUUUGAAACUAUUUUAGGGAUUUGUGAUGAUGAUUCAUGGAUGAUGUAGGGUUCUUGACCCUUGUAAGGAUUUGUUAUUUAGCUUGGCUUAUAUAAUGUUAUACAUUCACUGGGUAUGUGCAUUCUUUUUUAUGAAUUUCAUAUGCUUAUAGCACAAUAACAUCUUCUUUUCUCACCAGACUCCUCACGCUCUGCAAAAACCGGUACAGAAUGCUCCUUUCCUUAACGAGGACAAUUGUCCGGGGAUCCCAUCCCACUUUAGGGCUCAAAUCCACUUUAUACUAAAGAAAAAUAAAAAUAAAAAUGAGAUGUUUUCGGAUUGCCGUACGUAAUAAAUGCUUACGUUUUUUGGGCGAUUGAUUUAUCUACGGAAUAAAUUGGGGUUUUUAUUACCGUUUAAUAACAUUUUUUCACAUUUUAUUUUUUUUUUGCAGGAAAAAACAAUGCUGGAUUUGUUAUUUUUGUAUCGCUGCUGCUGUAUUUCAUAUACUUAUCUAAGGUGAGAAGUCCAAAUUUCUAUUUACAUUCAAAUAUGAUUGUAUCCAAAAUGCCCCCCUUUUUCAUUUCUGCCCCAAAACAAGUUAUUUGAGAGUAGACUGCGAAAAUAAAAGGCCUUCCUUGCUCGUUGUUAUUGCCGGAUGAGACGGCCGUUUAGGGUAAGAAAAAAAAACAGGGACAGGAGGUAGUCCCAAAACCAUGUUCAGACGUAAAUCGCUCAAAAAAAACUCCACAAGUAACUUGGAAUAAAUAUUAUCCUUAUUAAACUUCGGAAAAUGUGUCAUGGUUACAUUUGUAAAAGACCCUCAAAUUAUAACCUCAAACUAGGUUCCAUGAAAGUCAUUGACGCAAGCUCUUUUAUUGUAGAAGCGUGCAAACGAGCUGGCCUUGCUUUAGAUUUUUCUCAAUUUUAUUUUUUUUUGGUAAAUUCCUUUCACAAUCUUCUUUGCCAGGUCAUGGAUUACGUUUGCCCUAAUCGGGCCAAAGCAAAUUAUUUCCAAGGCCUCGAAGAUGGGGGCGGGUGAAUACUAUAGCAAUAUGAACAAAUGAAAUCAUCGUCGUAUCAGUUUUUCAAUUAUUUGAAGUUGAUCGUACACUAAAUGAAAGUUGAUUGUACACUAAAUGCCAUACUUUCAGUAGGGUUGGCUACACGAAUCACUUACUCAGAUUUCCAUAAUAUUCUUACAUAGGGCUGAGAAUUUACUCGAUCCGGAUUUGAGUCAAAUUUUAAAUCCCGGUAUGGAUCAAAUCUGGGUAAAAGGGGAUUCGAUUCGGAUUCAACCCGAUUUUUAAACUAGUAUAUAUCAUUAUUUUUUAAAUAUAUAUAGCUAUAUUUUUGUUAAUUAUCUAUUUAAUAUAUAUUUAAUUAAUUUUGUAAAAUUUUAGAAAACCUAAUAUGGAUCCCAUAUAGUUUUUGGAUCCAAACUCUAUCCGAUCUCAUGUAAGAGUUUUAAAAUAUGAUCAUGAUCUAAAUAUUCUAUAUCCAAUCUGAUCUGGAUCCUGAUCCAUAUCCAACAUAUACUAUUCUGAUUUGAUUCAAAAAUUUUCAGCCCUAUUCCUACGCUAAUAUUACCAGCAUCCAAAUAUGCGACAUUAACCUAGGUUUACGACUGCAUUCAUAGCAAGGUUUAAUUACUCGCACCAAGCGCAAUUGGGAAUGGGGGACAUGUUGACCGUUGUAUCAAAAUCAAUCUGUCCAAUAUUACAGUUCUUAUGUGAUCCGCUAUUUAUAAUCAUUAAGUAGUUCAAUGGUCGAAGCAUCCGCAACUAACUACAAUAAUAGGAGCGUCUCUGAUGUCUCAAAUAUCGGGUUAAAUCCAAAACAAGGAAAGAGGCUUACAAUAGGGUUGUCCAAUAUUUGGUACAUGAACAAUUAAAUAUGAACGACCUUAAUUGACCUACAAACUAUACUUAAAAUAAAAUGAAAUGAAAAACUGGUCUGGGUGCCAAAAUAUAUAGAAAAUUAAAAUGCGAUAAAGACGGACCAACGCGUAAAUUUUACAAAAAAAUAUAGAGCACUAUGUAGUAUAUCGAAAAUAUUUUCUGGUUUCUUUUGUAACUUUUCUUAAAAUUUUACAUAAUAAUAUUU